rnacentral:rRNA from 1 species
CCUACGGGAGGCAGCAGUGAGGAAUAUUGGUCAAUGGACGAGAGUCUGAACCAGCCAAGUAGCGUGAAGGAUGACUGCCCUAUGGGUUGUAAACUUCUUUUAUAUGGGAAUAAAAUGUUCCACGUGUGGGAUUUUGUAUGUACCAUAUGAAUAAGGAUCGGCUAACUCCGUGCCAGCAGCCGCGGUAAUACGGAGGAUCCGAGCGUUAUCCGGAUUUAUUGGGUUUAAAGGGAGCGUAGGUGGAUUGUUAAGUCAGUUGUGAAAGUUUGCGGCUCAACCGUAAAAUUGCAGUUGAAACUGGCAGUCUUGAGUACAGUAGAGGUGGGUGGAAUUCGUGGUGUAGCGGUGAAAUGCUUAUAUAUCACGAAGAACUCCGAUUGCGAAGGCAGUUCACUGGACUGCAACUGACACUGAGGCUCGAAAGUGUGGGUAUCAAACAGGAUUAGAUACCCUAGUAGUC